CACCUCUCAGGGUCGCACCUGGAAAGUUUCCAGAACUCUACCAGUCUCGACUACAGGAGGAAGAGUCAAGCAGAGGCCUACCCAUUCCAUUCUUAGCUUGGGCAGUGACUAGUGAUUGGAAGGAAAUAUGCUACAAGU